CUUCCUUAUUUGCUAUUCUCAAAAAACAAGAGUGAAAGUAGAAGUUGCAAGACUUCCUAAGACCUGUGCCUGGAGCUGGUAUAACAUCAUCACUUCUGCCACAUUUUUUGGUCCAGAAAGCCCAAGUUCAUGAGAGGGGAGGAAGAACAAUAUCCAAGGGUGUGAAGUCAAGAAGGUCUUGAGUUCCUCAGAGCCUUGUAUAACCACCGACUACAGCUCUCCUCUGGCCUUAGUGUUUUAUGUCCUUCCUGUGCGGAUGGACUUGUCCUCACCUCAGAAAAAAACCAAAAACCCUCUCCCUUCUUUCUCUUUCUUCUUGAAUGGAGUACAGACUCAAAGAUAGAAGAAAGGAGGCAUCUUGCAAACAUGAGGAUGCGCAUGAUGUGAUUAAAGAUGACCUGGUCCUUCACAAUGAAUCUUGACUUAUUACCUUUGUGCUUCCUGUUUUGUCUUAAAAAUUUCAUAUCUAGUUAAGUCGCUGUGAUGUAGACCUUUUUUUCAAGUUGCCUGGCAGUGAGACAUAUGAAUUAAGAUGAUUUUUUUUUCCAAAAUCCCCCUUGAUUCCUGCGCG
rnacentral:lncRNA from 1 species